rnacentral:rRNA from 1 species
UACAGAGGUCUCAAGCGUUGUUCGGAUUCAUUGGGCGUAAAGGGUGCGUAGGCGGCGCGGUAAGUCGGGUGUGAAAUCUCGGAGCUUAACUCCGAAACUGCAUUCGAUACUGCCGUGCUUGAGGACUGGAGAGGAGACUGGAAUUUACGGUGUAGCGGUGAAAUGCGUAGAUAUCGUAAGGAAGACCAGUGGCGAAGGCGGGUCUCUGGACAGUUUCCUGACGCUGAGGCACGAAGGUCAGGGGAGCAAACGGGG